rnacentral:rRNA from 1 species
UGGGGAAUAUUGCACAAUGGGCGCAAGCCUGAUGCAGCAACGCCGCGUGAGGGAUGACGGCCUUCGGGUUGUAAACCUCUUUUAGCAGGGAAGAAGCGAAAGUGACGGUACCUGCAGAAAAAGCACCGGCUAACUACGUGCCAGCAGCCGCGGUAAUACGUAGGGUGCAAGCGUUGUCCGGAAUUAUUGGGCGUAAAGAGCUCGUAGACGGUCUGUCGCGUCUGCUGUGAAAUCCCGAGGCUCAACCUCGGGCCUGCAGUGGGUACGGGCAGACUAGAGUGCGGUAGGGGAGAAUGGAACUCCUGGUGUAGCGGUGGAAUGCGCAGAUAUCAGGAAGAACACCGAUGGCGAAGGCAGUUCUCUGGGCCGUAACUGACGCUGAGGAGCGAAAGCGUGGGGAGCGAACAGGAUUAGAUACCCUGGUAGUCCACGCCGUAAACGUUGGGCGCUAGAUGUGGGGACCAUUUCCACGGUUUUUCCGUGUCGCAGCUAACGCAUU